rnacentral:rRNA from 1 species
GUCACACCAUGAGAGUUGGAGAUACCCGAAGCCUGUGAGCUAACAAACGAGGCAGCAGUCGAAGGUAGAAUCAAUGAUUGGGGUGAAGUCGUAACAAGGUACC